CUGUGAGCUCGAUGAGUAGGGCGGGACACGUGGUAUCCUGUCUGAAUAUGGGGGGACCAUCCUCCAAGGCUAAAUACUCCUGACUGACCGAUAGUGAACCAGUACCGUGAGGGAAAGGCGAAAAGAACCCCGGCGAGGGGAGUGAAAAAGAACCUGAAACCGUGUACGUACAAGCAGUGGGAGCACAGAGCAAUCUGUGUGACUGCGUACCUUUUGUAUAAUGGGUCAGCGACUUAUAUUCUGUAGCAAGGUUAACCGAAUAGGGGAGCCGAAGGGAAACCGAGUCUUAACUGGGCGUUAAGUUGCAGGGUAUAGACCCGAAACCCGGUGAUCUAGCCAUGGGCAGGUUGAAGGUUGGGUAACACUAACUGGAGGACCGAACCGACUAAUGUUGAAAAAUUAGCGGAUGACUUGUGGCUGGGGGUGAAAGGCCAAUCAAACCGGGAGAUAGCUGGUUCUCCCCGAAAGCUAUUUAGGUAGCGCCUCGUGAAUUCAUCUCCGGGGGUAGAGCACUGUUUCGGCAAGGGGGUCAUCCCGACUUACCAACCCGAUGCAAACUGCGAAUACCGGAGAAUGUUAUCACGGGAGACACACGGCGGGUGCUAACGUCCGUCGUGAAGAGGGAAACAACCCAGACCGCCAGCUAAGGUCCCAAAGUCAUGGUUAAGUGGGAAACGAUGUGGGAAGGCCCAGACAGCCAGGAUGUUGGCUUAGAAGCAGCCAUCAUUUAAAGAAAGCGUAAUAGCUCACUGGUCGAGUCGGCCUGCGCGGAAGAUGUAACGGGGCUAAACCAUGCACCGAAGCUGCGGCAGCGACGCUUAUGCGUUGUUGGGUAGGGGAGCGUUCUGUAAGCCUGCGAAGGUGUGCUGUGAGGCAUGCUGGAGGUAUCAGAAGUGCGAAUGCUGACAUAAGUAACGAUAAAGCGGGUGAAAAGCCCGCUCGCCGGAAGACCAAGGGUUCCUGUCCAACGUUAAUCGGGGCAGGGUGAGUCGACCCCUAAGGCGAGGCCGAAAGGCGUAGUCGAUGGGAAACAGGUUAAUAUUCCUGUACUUGGUGUUACUGCGAAGGGGGGACGGAGAAGGCUAUGUUGGCCGGGCGACGGUUGUCCCGGUUUAAGCGUGUAGGCUGGUUUUCCAGGCAAAUCCGGAAAAUCAAGGCUGAGGCGUGAUGACGAGGCACUACGGUGCUGAAGCAACAAAUGCCCUGCUUCCAGGAAAAGCCUCUAAGCAUCAGGUAACAUCAAAUCGUACCCCAAACCGACACAGGUGGUCAGGUAGAGAAUACCAAGGCGCUUGAGAGAACUCGGGUGAAGGAACUAGGCAAAAUGGUGCCGUAACUUCGGGAGAAGGCACGCUGAUAUGUAGGUGAAGUCCCUCGCGGAUGGAGCUGAAAUCAGUCGAAGAUACCAGCUGGCUGCAACUGUUUAUUAAAAACACAGCACUGUGCAAACACGAAAGUGGACGUAUACGGUGUGACGCCUGCCCGGUGCCGGAAGGUUAAUUGAUGGGGUUAGCGCAAGCGAAGCUCUUGAUCGAAGCCCCGGUAAACGGCGGCCGUAACUAUAACGGUCCUAAGGUAGCGAAAUUCCUUGUCGGGUAAGUUCCGACCUGCACGAAUGGCGUAAUGAUGGCCAGGCUGUCUCCACCCGAGACUCAGUGAAAUUGAACUCGCUGUGAAGAUGCAGUGUACCCGCGGCAAGACGGAAAGACCCCGUGAACCUUUACUAUAGCUUGACACUGAACAUUGAGCCUUGAUGUGUAGGAUAGGUGGGAGGCUUUGAAGUGUGGACGCCAGUCUGCAUGGAGCCGACCUUGAAAUACCACCCUUUAAUGUUUGAUGUUCUAACGUUGACCCGUAAUCCGGGUUGCGGACAGUGUCUGGUGGGUAGUUUGACUGGGGCGGUCUCCUCCUAAAGAGUAACGGAGGAGCACGAAGGUUGGCUAAUCCUGGUCGGACAUCAGGAGGUUAGUGCAAUGGCAUAAGCCAGCUUGACUGCGAGCGUGACGGCGCGAGCAGGUGCGAAAGCAGGUCAUAGUGAUCCGGUGGUUCUGAAUGGAAGGGCCAUCGCUCAACGGAUAAAAGGUACUCCGGGGAUAACAGGCUGAUACCGCCCAAGAGUUCAUAUCGACGGCGGUGUUUGGCACCUCGAUGUCGGCUCAUCACAUCCUGGGGCUGAAGUAGGUCCCAAGGGUAUGGCUGUUCGCCAUUUAAAGUGGUACGCGAGCUGGGUUUAGAACGUCGUGAGACAGUUCGGUCCCUAUCUGCCGUGGGCGCUGGAGAACUGAGGGGGGCUGCUCCUAGUACGAGAGGACCGGAGUGGACGCAUCACUGGUGUUCGGGUUGUCAUGCCAAUGGCACUGCCCGGUAGCUAAAUGCGGAAGAGAUAAGUGCUGAAAGCAUCUAAGCACGAAACUUGCCCCGAGAUGAGUUCUCCCUGACUCCUUGAGAGUCCUGAAGGAACGUUGAAGACGACGACGUUGAUAGGCCGGGUGUGUAAGCGCAGCGAUGCGUUGAGCUAACCGGUACUAAUGAACCGUGAGGCUUAACCUUACAACGCCGAAG
rnacentral:rRNA from 1 species